UUGACUUCUCUUUCUUCAUGAAAUAUGUCCAAGUUCAUGGCAAUUCACUCUCAUUCUCUAUGCGUGUCAAAAACCCAGAUAACUUGAUUGACAAUUGUCUAAAUUCUCCAUCUUCUUCCAUGACUCACCAUGUUAAGAAAUUCCUAUAAAUAGCCAUUGAAAAUCCAAUGUUCUUCAAGCUAUAAACCAAUUAAUAUUCUGAUUUUAUUUAAUUACAAGCUUAAUUUGUUUGCCCUCUCUAUUUAUUUCCUUGAUUUUUCACCAUUAAUGGACACCCAUUUUCUCUCUCCUCCGUUCUACCACCGCGGAGCCACCCAUUGGCCACCGCCGAGCCACCACCUUCUGCCGUCAAAUCCAGCCACCACCUCCAACUCGGUGCCACCUGCUUCCUGUUGCCGAGUCCACCUUGCCGGCAACAUCUCUGGUUGAUGUUGCACCGUGUUGUUGCUGCUAUUAUGCCUUCAAUUGUCUCUUAUUAUGUAAGCUUCUUCCCUGGUUCCAAUUUUCCAAAGACCCAAAUUAUAAUAUGAGCUCUAAAUAUGUUAAAAGCCCAUUUUAUUGUUUUUUUUUAAAAAGCCCAAAAGUUUCUUAAUUCCUACUAUUACAUGUUUCUUAUUCAUUUGAUACCAAAGUUUUAAAUUUUAUUUUACAAAAGCUAAACUAAGAUUUCUACCAUUACUCAUUUACUCCAUAAGGAGCACCAUUUAUAAAAAGGGUUGUCUAUUCUUAAGAAUGUGUAGUAUUUUGGAUACAUGUGUUUUAGUAAAGAGUGAUAAUUCUAUUGUUAUGAUUCUAUUACGGGGCAUUGAGAAUGGUUGAAAGUGAUGGAACUUAUGAAAUAUCGGUUACCGGAGUCUAAGUAAGCAGUUAAGGAAAAACAAUCGAGGUUCGAUUAAGGAGCUAGAGUUGCUCAAGACGAAAGUUAUUACUGGAGUUAAUAUUUUAUUAUGGAGAUAUCGAGAUGAGACAUUAUUUAUUAUGGAAAUCCUGUUACUGAGGUUGUUAUAAGAAUAUUGAUUUAUAAUUAUUUUUGGAAAAGUUGUAUUAUUUAUGAAAUGUUAUUAAGGAUUAUUUUAUUUGUGGGCCCAUACCCACGGGUCCCAUGAUUAAUUAUGUCUAAUUCCGCUGCUAAUGAUCAGUUAAGUACGGUUUAUUACCGAUAUUUAAGGUACCAAAAAGUCGGGACGUUAUAGUAUGGUAUCAGAGCGGAGCCCAGCCGGAAGUGCUCAGCACUGCCUGGGUAUGAUCUUUGGGAUAUGAUAAUGUUUUGAGGUUUUAACAGCUAUUUGGGAUAUUGAUGUUAAGUUAUGAGAAUAAGUGUUUUAAGAGAAGUGAGUAAUAUUUUUGGGUUGUUAAAAGAGUAUGUCAUAGUGUGAGUGUCUGAGUUUAGACUGAUCUUAAGUUUUGAGAUAUCCAGUUUCGAGUACGAAACUUUUUCUAAGAGGGUAAGGAUGUAACACCCCGUAUUUUUAAGCCUCUUUUAUUAUUCUGUAAUUAUGAUUAUUAUCGUAAUUACGUCCUAAAUUUUUCCGAUCUAUUUUUAAUUAUCGUAUUAUGUCUACCUUUUUGUUGUGACAUAAUACCAAUUAAUUGAGCCCAACUAUUUUUGUACAAGCCCAUUUCAUUACUCCAAAAUCUGAUUUUAUUCUUUGAUGUGGAAAUUACAUUUUUGCCCUUAAAAUGUUAAAAUUCCAAUUGUCUUCUUCCCCAUCUUCUUUAUACGUGUAAUUUCCAUGAAAGAGCUUGGUGGCAAGUAUUUUGACUUCUCUUUGCUUCAAGUAUUCUGUCUGUAGGCAAUUGGCUUCUAUGCGUGGCAAAAGACUAACAUUUUGAUUGCCAAAUGUCCAAAUUUUUCCUCUUCUUCAAUGACUCACCAUGACAAGAAAUUCCUAUAAAUAGCCAUUGAAACCCCCUUGUUCUUCAAGCUCAAAACUCAAUUAAUAUUUCUGAUUAUAUUUCCAAAGUUUGAUUUAUUUCCCCUCUCUAUUUUUCCUUGUGCAAAUUCAAGAAAUCAUUGAUAUCUACCUAUUUUCUCUCUCCUCCCUUCGACCACCGCGGCACCGCCGCUACUGCAACCACCUUGGUCGGCGAGUCCUUCCUUCGUCGCCUCAGACCACCUCCAUGAACCCGACACCACCUUCUGUCGUCGCCGGAAGUCGCGUCUCUGUUGAAGCAUGAGUUACUGUUUUUGUGUGGGUUUCAUUUCACCUUGCUUCCUUUGAUUUUGCUGAUAGUUAUACCAAAAUGCCAAUAAAGUAUAAAUGGGGUAUAAAUAAGUGGGCCUUGAAUCCAUGAUGGAGUAUUAUUUAUGGGCUAAAGUCAACUAUUUUCCUGGUGGGUUUCGGUUACAAGGGCAAGCAAAGUUAAGUAAGUAAUUUGAUUUUAUUAAGGUUGCCUAUUUAAGUUUAAUGAGUAACCAUUCCUAAUUAUGGGUUUUUAUUGUUAUUAUGGAGAAAUUGGGCUUAUCAAAUAAAACGUUUGGUGGGUUAUGGAAGAUACGUUUUGGAGUAUAAAGAUAUAGUCACUUUAAGGUUAUGGUGAUCGAGGUAAUUUUUAUGUCCAGCACCUAUAUAUAUGCCUGUAUAAUAUUUUAAGGUGUAAUUAUUAUGUCUAGCAUUUUAGCCUCAUGCCCUCGUAUGUGUUACGUAAUUUUUAUGUCCAACACUUAUAUUUAUGCCCGUAUAAUGUUUUAAGGCGUAAUACUUAUGUCCAGCAAUUAUAUUUAUGUGCCCGUAUAUAAAAGUAUUAUAUUAUGUUAUUAUAACUAUUAUGUCCAACAUUUAAGCUUUACAUGCCCGUAUAUGAAAUGUGUGACUAUUAUGUGAUUAUAUGUUUAUUAUGUGUUUUAUGUGAUAAAUGAUGAUAUAUGUUUUUAUGAUUAUGAUCAUGAUGUUAAAGACGUUGUUCGAAAAUAAUGAAGAUAUUUAUAAAGUGAUUUUAAAGAAAGACGAUGUUGCUUUUGUCGGCAUGGAAAAGUGAACUGAACUAGCAGGUGGAGACAAGUUACAGGUGGAGACAAGUUACAGGUGGAGGCAAGUUAAAGUUAAAGUUAAAGUUUGGGAAACAGUUCCCCCCCCCUGAAAAGAUGUAAGAAAAAGUUCUGCCAAAUCCUGUACUUGCCAAUGAGCUGUAAAGGAAAUGAUUCCUUGCCGACACAGUUUUCAAGAUAACGAGAUUAAGUUAGUUAUUUCCGAACAAUAAAUGCUAAAGAUUGACAUGUGCCAAGUGAUUUUCAAAAUAAAACUGUUUUAACGGGCUGGAGUAAUAUUACUGAGUUUUCCACUCAUUUUUGGCAUUUUUCUAUGUUUUUCCUGUUUUCUAUUUUUAUGAUGAUGUACAGGUUCGGUUAAGGAGCUAGAGUUGCUCAAGACGAAAGUUAUUACUAGAGUCAAUAUUUUAUUAUGGAGAUAUCGAGAUGAGAAAUUAUUUAUUAUGGAAAUCCUAUUACUGAGGUUGUUAUAAGAAUAUUGAUUUAUAAUUAUUUUUGGGAAAGUGGUAUUAUUUAUGGAAUGUUAUUAAGGAUUAUUUUAUUUGUGGGCCCAUACCCACAGGUCCCAGGA